AUUUUAUAGGUUCAGAAAGUGUGUCUCAGAGGAGUUAGAGAAGACCGAUUAAUAGAUGACAGUGCUAAAGCCUGGAUCUCCUGAAUCCUGGUUCUGGGAUACAUGUGCAGAAUGUGCAGGUUUGUUAAUAGGCAUACGUGUGCCAUGGUGGUUUGCUGCCCCUUCAACCCGUCAUCUAGAUUUUAAGCCCCGCAUGCAUUAGUUUGGGGGAAGUUCUAUGAAAUCUAAGUUGAUGAACAUUAUUCCCCCUGCUGAUACCAAAAGUCCUGACUUGUAAGGAGGACAAAGCUGAGAUGAAAGUGUCCUAAGUUAGAUUCCUGGGAAGAAAAUUCUGAGACACAUUCUGCAGGAUGAUUAUUAGGGCUCAUCCUUGGUUUCAACACCCAUAGAAGGAAGGGGGAAGAAGAAAUCGAACAGAGAGACAGAAGUCGAGAUGCAUUUCAGGCCAGGACUCUUGGCUGAACCCACAGGAGCUCUGGAGCUAGAAUGGCCCUUCAGAGUUGUCCUGAGUUGGUCUGAGAUGGCCAGUUCUUUAUAUUCCUGCAUGGGAUAGUCACUGGAUGUCCACCCCAGGAAGGGGUGUGGCCAAGACAGUCCCUAAAAUGCCCGCCAGCACUCCCUACACCUGGAGCGACAAGACCAACAUCACAGGGGGAAUGCACUGGGUGAUGGAUCACAGCGUUCAUCCCAGAAGAUGAGGAUACAGAAUUGGCUGACAACUACGUUCUAAAUGUCAGUGUUCUCCAAAAUUCAUAUGUUGAAACUUAAUUCCCAAUGUGAUGGCAUUAGGAAGUGGGGCCUUUGGGGGAGGGACUAUAGGUCAUGAGGGUGUAACCCUCAUCAAUGGGAUUAGUGUCCAGAGAGCUGCCUUGCCCUUCCACCAUGUGAGGACAUAGUGAGAAGGUGCCAUCUAUGAACUAGGAAGUGGGCGCUUACCACCAGACACCCACUCUUCUGGCAACUUGAUCUUGAAUUUCCCAGCCUCCAGAACUCUGAGAAAUCAAUUUCUGUUAAUUAUAAGCUACCCAGUCGAUAGCAUUUUGUUAAAGCUGCUGGAACUAAACUAAGACACUGACGCUUUCUGCGACAAAAAGAUAGAGUGAGUCUCUAUAGCAUACCAUGUAACAGAUGUUUUUGGAAAAAUAACCUCAUUUCAUAUGUUUCCUCAAGAUAAAAAGAAUGUCAUAACAACAAAUGAGAAAAUAGUUGCUUUAGAAAUAUUGCACCCUAUGGAGAGAGUAUUUUGGAUUUUGGUUUUUUGUUUUGUUUUUUAACUUUUGUUUUAGGUUUGGGGGUACAUAUGCAGGUUUGUUAUAUAGGUAAACUCAUGUCACAGGGGUUUGUUGUACAGAUAAUUUCCUCACCCAGGUACUAAGCCUAGUACCCAAUAGUUGCUUUUUCUCCUCCUCUCUCUCCUCCCACCCUCCACCCUCAAAUAGGCCCCAGUGUAUGUUGUUCUCUUCAUUAUGUUCAUGAAGUUGAGAGAGUGUUUUGAAAAAGAAUGUUGGAAAGCAUUUCCACUGUUAGAUGAUUUUAAGUCAAAAAGUUAUACAACAGUGUGACCUAUUUGCACACAAGCAUGGACACAGAAUUGUGUCAUAUGUUUAAAACUUUUCUAGAUCCUUUUGUGGUUCAUAAGCUUGAUGAUUGAGUUUUCGCGUCCACAUGUGAGAUGUGCCUCCCUUGAGCCUUGUCAUUGGCACAUUACCUGCCUGAUGUGAACAAUAAAAAUAAAAAAUAAAAAUUUGCUAAGCAGAGUUUCUGUGGAUUUCUAACUUAUUUAUAAAAACAAUAAAAAUGUAACAUAUUCCAUUUAGUGUUCAAGAACAACUAAGUAACAGUAAAGAUGGAAAUUUGCUAGCCGAAUUUCAAGAAAAAUCUUUGUACAGUAAGUGGAUGAGAUUGAAAAAAAUGUGUGUCACAAUUCAAAAGUCAGUCAGAAGCCUGGAUAACAUAGUGAGCCUCUGCCUCCACAAAAAUUAAAACUUAAAAAAAUUAGCCUGUAGUCCUGGCUACUUGGGAGGUUGAGGUGGGAGGAUCGCCUGAGCCCACGAGUUUGGGGCCAUGGUGAGGCGUGAUCACACCACUGCACUCCAGCCUGGGCAACAGAGCGAGACCCUGUCUAAAAAAAGAAAAGAAAAAGACAAAAGUCAGUCAGAGGGGCACUGCUUUCAUUUGGAAUUCUUCAUCUUUUUGAGGUAUUAAAGAAAAAUGAUUUCUCACCAUACUGCUGACACCAAAUGUGGGAGUGUGUGUCCACAAGACCCAAUUCUCCAACCCUCUAUACACAAACUGAGUGUCCUACAAUUCAUUUCCUUUUUUUUUUUUUUUUGAGAUGGAGUCUCAAUCUGUGGCCCAGGCUGGAGUGCAGUGGCACGAUCUCAGUUCACUGCAAACUCUGCCUCUUGG
rnacentral:lncRNA from 10 species